CAGCGGAGGGAUCAUUACCGAGUUUACAACUCCCAAACCCACUGGUGAACUUAUACCCAAAACGUUGCCUCGGCGGGCACAGCGGUACCCGAGCCCCCGCAAGGGAGCAGAGGCGCCCGCCCGCCAGGGGACCAAAACUCUUCUGUAUACCCAUAGCGGCAUGUCUGAGUGGAUUUAAAAACAAAUGAAUCAAAACUUUCAACAACGGAUCUCUUGGUUCUGGCAUCGAUGAAGAACGCAGCGAAAUGCGAUACGUAAUGUGAAUUGCAGAAUUCAGUGAAUCAUCGAAUCUUUGAACGCACAUUGCGCCCGCCAGUAUUCUGGCGGGCAUGCCUGUUCGAGCGUCAUUUCAACCCUCAAGCCCUGCUUGGUGUUGGGGACCGGCUCAGCGGGUGCGGGCUUCGGCCCGUCCCGUGCCGCCCCCGAAAUGGAUCGGCGGUCUCGUCGCAGCCUUCUUUGCGUAGUAACAUACCACCUCGCAACAGGAGCGCGGCGCGGCCACUGCCGUAAAACGCCCAACUUUUUAGAGUUGACCUCGAAUCAGGUAGGAAUACCCGCUGAACUUAAGCAUAUCAAU
rnacentral:rRNA from 1 species